rnacentral:rRNA from 1 species
AACGUAGGAGGCGAGCGUUAUCCGGAUUUACUGGGUGUAAAGCGCGUGCAGGCGGUUGGCUAAGUUGGGUGUGAAAGCUCCUGGCUCAACUGGGAGAGGUCGCUCAAGACUGGUCGACUGGAGAGUGGUAGGGGAAGGUGGAAUUCCGGGUGUAGUGGUGAAAUGCGUAGAUAUCCGGAGGAACACCAGUGGCGAAAGCGGCCUUCUGGACCACAUCUGACGCUCAGACGCGAAAGCUAGGGGAGCAAAC